rnacentral:rRNA from 1 species
GCAGCCCGAGUGGUGGUCGAGUUUAUCGAGUCUAAAACGUCGUAGCCGGUCUGAUAAAUCCUUGGGUAAAUCGGGAAGCUUAACUUUCCGAAUUCCGAGGAGACUGUCAGGCUUGGGAUCGGGAGAGGUAUGAGGUACUUCAGGGGUAGGGGGUAAAAUCCUGUAAUCCUUGGAGGACCACCGGUGGCGAAGGCGUCAUACUAGAACGAAUCCGACGGUGAGGGACGAAGCCCUAGGUCGCAAACGGGAUUAGAUACCCCGGUAGUCUAGGGUGUAAACGCUGCAGACUUGGUGUUGGGGGCCCUUCGGGGGCAUUCAGUGCCGGAGAGAAGUUGUUAAGUCUGCUACUUGGGGAGUACGUCCGCAAGGAUGAAACUUAAAGGAAUUGGCGGGGGAGCACCGCAACGGGAGGAGCGUGCGGUUUAAUUGGAUUCAACACCGGAAAACUCACCAAGGGAGACCAUCACAUGAAAGCCAGGCUAAUGACUUUGCUUGAUUCUUGGAGGGGAGGUGCAUGG